UACAGAGGGUGCAAGCGUUGCUCGGAAUCAUUGGGCGUAAAGGGCAAGUAGGUGGUCUCGUUUGUCUGAGGUGAAAUCCCUGGGCUUAACCUAGGAACUGCCUCAGAAACGGCGAGACUUGAGUACUGGAGAGGGUCGCGGAAUUCCCGGUGUAGCGGUGAAAUGCGUAGAUAUUGGGAGGAACACCAGUGGCGAAGGCGGCUCACUGGACCGGAACUGACGCUGAGGCGCGAAAGCGUGGGGAGCAAACAGG
rnacentral:rRNA from 1 species